rnacentral:rRNA from 1 species
UACGUAGGGGGCAAGCGUUGUCCGGAAUCAUUGGGCGUAAAGAGCGUGUAGGCGGCUCGGUAAGUCCGCUGUGAAAGUCCAGGGCUCAACCCUGGAAUGCCGGUGGAAACUGUCGAGCUAGAGUCCGGAAGAGGCGAGUGGAAUUCCUGGUGUAGCGGUGAAAUGCGCAGAUAUCAGGAGGAACACCAAUGGCGAAGGCAGCUCGCUGGGACGGUACUGACGCUGGAGACGCGAAAGCGUGGGGAUCAAACAGG